CCCUGUCUCUACUAAAAAUACAAAAAUUAGCCAGGCGUGGUGGUAGGCACCUGUAAUCCCAGCUACUCGGGAGGCUGAGGCAGGAGAAUUGCUUGAACCUGGGAGGCGGAGGAUGCAGUGAGCCGAGAUCACGCCAUUGCACUCCAGCCUGGGCAACAAGAGUAAAUCUCCGUCUCACCAAAAAAAAAAAAAAGAGAGAGAGAGAAAGAAAGGUCUUGCCAGUACCUUCUGUCCAGGCCUUGCAAACCCAGAGUGGCCCCAAGUCAGUGGGGUCUCCUUCAGGCCCCACAAGGCGAGCUGGAGAGCUGCUGGAAAUCAGCUGAUGUGCUGGCAGAGCUCCAGCCCAGAGUUUCUCAUGACUUGGAGCCGACAUAUUCC
rnacentral:lncRNA from 1 species